GUGUCAGCAGCCGCGGUAAAACGUAGGUGGCGAGCGUUAUCCGGAUUUACUGGGCGUAAAGCGUGUGCAGGCGGGCUGUCAAGUGGUGCAUGAAAUCGCUCGGCUUAACCGGGCGGGGUUGUGCCAGACUGGCAGGCUAGAGUGCGGGAGAGGGGCGUGGAAUUCCGGGUGUAGUGGUGAAAUGCGUAGAGAUCCGGAGGAACCCCAGAGGCGAAGGCGGCGCCCUGGCCCGACACUGACGCUCAGACACGACAGCAUGGGGAGCGAACGGGAUUAGAUACCCCCGUAGUCC
rnacentral:rRNA from 1 species